rnacentral:misc_RNA from 1 species
GAUGAAGAACGCAGCAAAAUGCGAUAAGUAAUGUGAAUUGCAGAAUUCAGUGAAUCAUCGAAUCUUUGAACGCACAUUGCGCCCGCCAGCACUCUGGCGGGCAUGCCUGUUCGAGCGUCAUUUCAACCAUCAAGCCCCCAGGGGCUUGUGCUGGGGCCCUGCGGCUGCCCGCAGGCCCUGAAAACCAGUGGCGGGCUCGCUAGUCACACCGAGCGCAGUAGCACAUCUCGCUCAGGGCGUGCGGCGGGCUCCUGCCGUGAAACCCCCCACUGUAACCCCAAAGGUUGACCUCGGAUCAGGUAGGAAUACCCGCUGAACUUAAGCAUAUCAAUAAGCGA